rnacentral:tRNA from 1 species
GCGGGCGUGGCGGAAUGGCAGACGCGCCAGACUUAGGAUCUGGUGCCCUAGUGGCGUAUGGGUUCAAGUCCCUUCGCCCGCACCA